rnacentral:rRNA from 1 species
UACGUAGGGUGCAAGCGUUGUCCGGAUUUAUUGGGCGUAAAGAGCUCGUAGGCGGUCAGUCACGUCGGAUGUGAAAACCCGGGGCUUAACUCCGGGCCUGCAUUCGAUACGGGCUGACUAGAGUGUUGUAGGGGAGACUGGAACUCCUGGUGUAGCGGUGAAAUGCGCAGAUAUCAGGAAGAACACCGGUGGCGAAGGCGGGUCUCUGGGCAACUACUGACGCUGAGGAGCGAAAGCGUGGGGAGCAAACAGG